UUUUCAUCCAUUUCCGGUGCCGUCGCCCUCCGCUCGCCCCCGCUCGCUCGGCCCCCGCCGGUGGGGCCUUUGGCAUGCUGGAGCGUUAUGAGGUGGGCGUGAAUUUGAUCAUCACUACUACAACAUGACAGGAUAUGAUCUGCUCAGGAGGGUCAAGAAAAUCUACAACCAAGAACACUCAGUCAGCUUCUGAACCAAGAAGAUUUGUUUGUGUCAGACAUCUUUAAUAACUGACGUGGAAGUAUUAACAGUUCUCCACAAGCUAAUUGUUUGAUGUGAUUAUCUAGUGGUGUUUUUGCUCCAGCUUCAAUUGCAUUGCUUCUGCUGUAUCGAUGGACUCUUUUCCCUUCCGUCAUUGAUUGAACCGAGUUGAUUCUGCAUAGCCGCAUAGGGAUAGGUACUUUUGAUAGUCUACUAUACAAAAAUAUUUAUUCAGUUAUUACCCUCCCUAUGUAUCUAUUCUUUCUCAAGUUUGAAUUGUUAAUAUAUCCAUUAGAGGAUUAGUUAUCCGUCUGCGCAAGGACCAAUACAGGUUAAGUACCCAUUGUUUUAAAGUAGAUUGUCUCUAUUCUCAUGCACGUGGACUUUCGGGGUAUGUAUACAAUGAAGUUCCACAAUGAUUCUCUUAA